AUUGAACGCUGGCGGCAGGCUUAACACAUGCAAGUCGAGCGCGCCGCGGACGUGUGUGUUAUGUCUGGGACACUCCCUUCUGGAGGGGGAUAACUACUGAAACCGGUAGCUAAUCCCGCAUACCAUCAGAUGUGCCCAGGUGGGAUUAGCUAGUAGGUGGGGUAAUGGCUCACCUCGGCGACGAUCCCUAGCUGGUCUGAGAGGAUGACCAGCGACACUGGAACUGAGACACGGUCCAGACUCCUACGGGAGGCAGCAGUGGGGAAUAUUGCACAAUGGGCGCAAGCCUGAUGCAGCCAUGCCGCGUGUGUGAAGAAGGUCUUCGGGUUGUAAAGCACUUUAAGCGGGGAGGCGUUACUCGCAGAAGAAGCACCGGCUAACUCCGUGCCAGCAGCCGCGGUAAUUC
rnacentral:rRNA from 1 species